rnacentral:snoRNA from 1 species
ACGACCUUACUUGAACAGGAUCUGUUCUAUAGGCUCGUACCGUUGCAUCCUUUACCGAAAAGGAGGCAAGCACUCAAGUCUGGUUGAUGAGACUAUGACCUCUGGGCCAGAGCGUGAUUAGCGGCCGUGAUGCCCAAGAUUUGGGCCAUCCGACGGCUGUAGAGGAUCGUUCCUGCCUGGAGAACUCCGGGGCAGGAUGGCCCAGAGGUUGUCUGACAGACC